rnacentral:rRNA from 1 species
GAUGAACGCUGGCGGCGUGCCUAAUACAUGCAAGUCGAGCGAACAGACGAGGAGCUUGCUCCUCUGACGUUAGCGGCGGACGGGUGAGUAACACGUGGAUAACCUACCUAUAAGACUGGGAUAACUUCGGGAAACCGGAGCUAAUACCGGAUAAUAUAUUGAACCGCAUGGUUCAAUAGUGAAAGACGGUUUUGCUGUCACUUAUAGAUGGAUCCGCGCCGCAUUAGCUAGUUGGUAAGGUAACGGCUUACCAAGGCAACGAUGCGUAGCCGACCUGAGAGGGUGAUCGGCCACACUGGAACUGAGACACGGUCCAGACUCCUACGGGAGGCAGCAGUAGGGAAUCUUCCGCAAUGGGCGAAAGCCUGACGGAGCAACGCCGUGAGUGAUGAAGGUCUUCGGAUCGUAAAACUCUGUUAUUAGGGAAGAACAAAUGUGUAAGUAACUAUGCACGUCUUGACGGUACCUAAUCAGAAAGCCACGGCUAACUACGUG